UUCUAGCCCCGAUAGUAGUGGAAAUCCUUUUGUGCCGGGGUUCGGCACAAAAGAUUGGAACGGAUAGCGGGAUUAGCU
rnacentral:sRNA from 1 species